GGGGGAGGCGGGGAUUUGGCUUUUGGCGGUUGGAGUGUGAGGAAGGAGUGAGAUGGGGGUGGACCAUGAAGGGCUACCUGGUUCCGUCGGUGCUUCGGCCGGGAAGGGGAAAGGGCGCUAGAGUGUGGCUCCUCAGUCUGAAAUAUCCUUCCUAACAUCAUAUAAAAAACUCAUUUUACAAGAAUAAGAAACUGAGGGAAACGGCAUUAAGUGGCUUGUCCAGCAUCACACAGCUAGAAGACUCUGAAGAUCACCUGGCAGAAUAACAUACAGACAUCGAUGUGCUUUCUCAAAUUAAACUGACAAGCAUUCCAACUCUACUGCAGAUAGCAUGACUCUGCUGGGCUGGUCACAUUGUUUGAAUGCCAAAUAUAUGCUUGCCAAAAAAAUUAUUUUAUGGAGAACUCACACAGGGCAAGCACAAAGUGGUUAGAAAAAAAGUGAUACAAGCACACUCUCAAGGUACCUCUUAAGAACUUUAGAAUGGAUUGUUUGACAUGGGAGACACUGGCACAGGAUUGUCCAGCAUGGCAUGUCCUUGUCAAAAGGUGCUGUGCUCUUUGAGCAAAGCAUAAUUGAAUUAGCCCAAAGGAAAUGUGAAAUAUAAAAAAUUAGAGAGGCCACCCCAAAAUGUUCAUAUGGACUAUUUAUGUCCGACCUGUUGCAGAGCAUUCUGAGUUUGUAUUGGUCUGACCAGCCAGCAAACCACUCGAUUCUAAUAGUAAUGUCAUUUUGGACGUCUUUGAAAACGGAACAACAAUAGGCAUUAAGACAACUUGUGAAUUCACUAGCAUAGGGAAGUGCUGGUGAAGAAACUCCCUCAGCUGCCUAAAAUCAUUAGUAUUUAUAGCUUACAAAGUGCUAUUAGGAUCAUUAUUUUACUUGAGCUGCAUAACAACCCUUCAAAACCGAAGCAUAAUGUUAUCCCCAUUUCAUAGAUUAAACAUAUUGAGAUGAA